CCAUGUAGCAGUUGUUGGACCA
rnacentral:siRNA from 1 species